CUCGGACGGUGAGGGCGGAAGCGCUGUGGUGGAGCUUGGGGCGUUGCCGGGCACCCAAGCCCCAGGUGUGCGAUUGACUGGAGCAGGAGGAAGUGGGCUGUCCACCCGCUCCCCAGGCAGCCUAGGCUGUUCGCCUCCAGGCUCCUCGUUCGGUCUUUGCAGACAUGGCCGCCUCCCAGAGGUCUACAUCCCUGUGGACCCAGUCCUGGCACCCUGCUCUCUUUUCUCCCAGCAGGAAAGCCAUUCCCGUUCAGCACUCAGGAGACCGGCAGGGUUUGAUCGCUGCUUUUAGUGAGAAGGAAUGAGUGUCCGGGCCACAGGAGCGGGAGGGUACCCCCUACUCCCAGAAGAUGGGGUGGGGUGGGAUCGAGUGCCCGCUUUGGUGGACUUCGGAAAAAUUGUCAGAUUUUUUUCGAUUCUUACGGAUCAUCUUAAAUUUAUUUAUUUUUCUUUUUAAUUUGACAGAGUUAGUGAGAGCGAGAGAGAGAGAGGUCUUCUUUCCGUUGGUUCACUCCCCAAAUGGCCGCCACGGCCAGCGCUGCGCCGAUCCGAAGCCAGGUGCACAUCAGGAACAGCUGGAUGGGAAGCAAGAGCAGCUGGGGCUCACAACAGGCACUCCUAGGCCGGCGCUGACCCAGCGUAGCAGGCAAAGCUGCAGCCUGCAGUACCAGCAUCCAAUAUGGGCACCGAUUCGAGUCCUGGCUGUUCCACUUCUGAUCCAGCUCGCUGCUGUGGCCCGGGAGUGCAGUAGAGGAUGGCCCAAGUCCUGGGGCCUCUGCACCCACAUGGGAGACCCGGAAGAAGUCUCUCCUUCUCUCUUCACAAAGGAGCGUUUUCACCAUCACAGUCUACUUGCAAGCAGUCCAGGCCAGGAGCAAAGACAAGAACAGCUUGCACGGUGCUGGCCCUGCAGACCAACGAAGGGUGGCAUCGUGUCCCCAGAAUCCCACCUUUUCUCACUCAGCCAAUGAAGAACUCAGGCAGGGGCCCAAGACAAAAACCACAGCAGGACCUCCCCGGGCUGUAGGGAGCAUCAGAGACCAGGUUUACGACAAAGCUCUUACAGAGACGUCCAGCAGUUCAAGGGCAGAUGCAGGGUUGUCCCGGACAGCCUUGAGAAGACCGAAGCAGCCUUCCGUGCGCACAGGGUUCCUGGUCACCUAGGAAACCCACACAAAACAAAGGCAAGCGGGGUUGGGGCAGGCUGGAGUGGGGCGGGGAAGGCUGGCCCCAGGUGUCUCCGUGGGGCCCAGUGCCCUGGAUGAGGCUGCCGGGCUGGGGAGGAGAGGCGGGAAGCGGACACCGACCGAGCACCCACCCAGUGUCUAGCUCUAUGUUGGGCACCGAAAAUACAGACACAAGAAGACGCUGUGGCCCUUACAGAGCUCACUCACGGCCGGGGAGAGGAGAACAGGGCGCACCACAACAAUGCAGUGUGAUGCGUGCCCUUCUACCCGGGAGAACACACCUGAGGUUACAGGGUUACAGAACCCCUGCUGGGCACACAGGACCUCAGGGAGGCUCUGAGCAGUGCCCAGCAGUCAAGACUGGCCCUGGCUUCCAUGGGGGUGUGCAGGAAAAGCAGCGAAGAAGACGGGGCAGCACGGGGAGCCCCAGCCACCCUCCGCAUCUCAGCGGGCUGGGGAGCAAGCGCAGAGAGGAGGAUGGGGAGCCACUGUUCAGGGCGGAGAGAG